rnacentral:tmRNA from 1 species
GGGGCUGACUGGAUUUGACAGCAGGAUGAGGUGUUGUGUAAGCACGCAGAGAGUUGUAUGCCGCUCUCUAUAAUACAUGACAUUCGAAAAUUUAUCUGGCGAAAACAACUACGCUCUCGCUGCCUAAUCGAAGAAUAGUAGAUAUGAGGCUUUAUCCCGGCACCAGGUGCUGGGACGAGAUGUCGCUCUGAGACUGGUUCCCCGAAGUACUCAGGUCAAGUGGCACAGCAGAAUCAGGGAUAGUUCGAAGCGGCUCCGCGCGACGGGCGAAGAUUCUUAGGAGAUAAGGCGAUGCCUGGUGGCUCAGGUCUGGACAUCGCCCGAAAAGACAAGUCUGAGAUAAGCGUGUAGAAAGCACAGGACGUCCCUGUUUGGACGAGGGUUCAAUCCCCUCCAGCUCCAC